UACGAAGGGGGCUAGCGUUGUCCGGAUUUAUUGGGCGUAAAGGGCGCGUAGGCGGCUAGAUGUGUCAAAGGUGAAAUCCCUCGGCUCAACUGAGGAACUGCCUUUGAAACUGUCUGGCUUGAGGCCGGGAGAGGGUAGCGGAAUUCCCAGUGUAGCGGUGAAAUGCGUAGAUAUUGGGAGGAACACCAGUGGCGAAGGCGGCUACCUGGACCGGUUCUGACGCUGAGGCGCGAAAGCGUGGGUAGCAAACAGG
rnacentral:rRNA from 1 species